GAAAUAGAGAGGCGAUGAGGACACAGAGAAAGAAGCAGAAAAAGGGGUAGGCGAUGAAAUGCGACAUGGAGAAAGAAACAGAGAAAGAGGCAGAGUUCCUGGAAAAAUGGCCAUCUAAAAUUCUGCGACGCUCCUAGAAAGGGAAAGCGCAAAAAAAACCUCAAAAACUUAUAAACACCAUUCAAGCAGUGCGAAGACUUAAAAACAUCAAGCGGUGCAGUCAUUUGGCCAAACGCACGCAUACAAAUACAGAACCCCUCCCUCCAUUGUUUUAGAUGUUCAUUCUAACUUCUCUUACCAAUUUCCCUUCCCUUUUUCACUGCUUUGUUCGUUCUCUGCCCUGUCACUUUUCUACCGCCAGACUUAGACCACCGGAACGGCAAACUUGCUUGCUCUUCUCAAAAAAAAAAAAAAAAAGACUUGCUGUACGGAGAAAGAGGAAGAGCACAGAGACCGAAAAACCAACCGGUUAAAAACUUAAAAUAUGAAAAGCCUUGAGAUUCAAAUGUGGAGAGGGAGAGGCAAAGUUCGUAAGCCGCACCAAGGCUUGCGAGCACCAUCAGUUUUCCCGCCUCCAACCGUUUCCUCGCCAUACUCAGCCCAUCGGAACCGCAAGGACACAAAGAUGUAAUCCGUAAGGUGCACCGUUACCAUCAGGUCAUCGGAACUACCACCGGAGGGAGUGGAUGUGGAUGACAUGAAGAAACGGUUGAAGGAAAUGGAGGAAGAAGUGGCUGCACUGCAUGAGAUGCAAGCCAAGGUCGAAUCCCACAUGGUUCUGCAAGAAGAAGAAGGAUUUCAAAUGGGUGUUAUGCAUGUGGCUGAAUGAGCAAGCAUACAAGGAGGAAAGCUUUUUUAGACAAACAGCUCAAACUCAACAACAAAAAUAAGAUGGAAUCCAGAAUCUCGCCUUUUGUUUAGGGUACUUUCGGCAUAUAUAUUUUUCUUUAACAUUCAUUCUUAUUUCAUGAAGUCCUUAUGUCUCUCAUUCUCUUUAGUGAAUGAUGUGAAUGUGAUGUACUUUUGUAAAGAUUGAAUGCUGGAGUUUUCUUUUGGAAUGUUUGGAAUUAUUAUGUUGUACAUU